rnacentral:lncRNA from 1 species
GCUAGAGGUUGGAGCAGGGAUGGAGGAGGGGGCCUCAGGCAAGCUGAUAAUUUGGUGCCAGUGGCUGACAUCAGUUGGUGGGCCUCCCAGCAUGCAUUUCCUUCUCUGGGCAGCGCAUCCCAAUUUUGCUUCGGAAUAAACCACCAUGCCUCCAGCAUCAUUUAAUUCGGGAGGCAUGGCCCCAGCCCCAGCUGUGGGCUGUGUGUGUGACUGAGACUUGCUCCAAGGCACAAUUUCAGUUCCUUCCAGGCUCAUCACACACCAAUACUGCAAGAGUCUCUGUUGGAUGGCACAAGUUCAGAUGGGGAAACUGAGGCUCACUCAAGUGCAUACCACAUAGAGAGUUCCUAAGGAAAUUGUAUUCUCGCUUUCCAUCAUCCUUGUGUCUGAAGCCCCCCGGGGGCGGGCGGUACGUGAUGCUUGUCUGACUGGCGAGGGGAAGACCUGCCCGUCCUCCGGCGGGCUUGACACCCCUCCCUGCCCCAUGCCACCAUCCGCCAUGAGAUGGGAAGCCGUGGAGCCUGGUCAAGCUGGAUCCCAGGUCAUCAGGAAUCAGACUGCAAUUAACAGUGCCCCGAACAAGGAACGGGCUGCUUCCGCACCCCAGCUCUGUGGGUCCCCAAGCCUGUCUACUCUCUCCUAAAACCCAGUUCCAGCUUUCUAUACAUUUAAAGCAGCUCCACGCUUCUCUUGCUCUGUUGUGACUUCAUAUCCACAGCUUUAUUUUAAGUUCUGUCACCUCAUCUCAUUUGUGCCUUAAAGUGGUUUAGAGCUAAGCAGAAAAGACAAGUAGUUGCACUCCGAGGGAUGUGUGGGGAAGCCUGAGAGGGAC